CAGAGGGUGCAAGCGUUAAUCGGAAUUACUGGGCGUAAAGCGAGCGUAGUCGGUUAUUUAAGUCGGGUGUGAAAGCCCCGGGCUCAACCUGGGAAUUGCAUUCGAUACUGGAUAGCUAGAGUUCGGCAGAGGGAAGCGGAAUUUCCGGUGUAGCGGUGAAAUGCGUAGAUAUCGGAAGGAACAUCAGUGGCGAAAGCGGCUUCCUGGACCAGAACUGACGAUCAGGCUCGAAAGCGUGGGGAGCAAACAGGAUUAGAUACCCUGGUAGUCCACGCCAUAAACGAUGACAACUAGACGUUGGGCGGGUAAGCCGCACAGUGUCGCAGCUAACGCGUUAAGUUGUCCGCCUGGGGAGUACGGCCGCAAGGUUG
rnacentral:rRNA from 1 species